UACGAAGGGGGCUAGCGUUGCUCGGAAUUACUGGGCGUAAAGGGCGCGUAGGCGGAUGUUUAAGUCAGAGGUCAAAUCCCAGGGCUCAACCCUGGAACUGCCUUUGAUACUGGGCAUCUUGAGUACGGGAGAGGUGUGUGGAACUCCGAGUGUAGAGGUGAAAUUCGUAGAUAUUCGGAAGAACACCAGUGGCGAAGGCGACACACUGGCCCGUUACUGACGCUGAGGCGCGAAAGCGUGGGGAGCAAACAGG
rnacentral:rRNA from 1 species